GGGGGCGACCCGGUUUCGACGUGGGUCACGAAGCAGUACAGGGCAUGCCAAGGUCCAGUCACCUUGUAAAUCCGCUGGAAACUAUAAACGCCAACGACGAGCGUUACGCUCUAGCCGCCUAACACCGGCUAGACGCUGCACUAGCUUGCUGAUGGGCUAGGCCGGAGGGAUUAGCGAGGCGCAAGCCAAGCUUGUUCAACCGGUGCAGCGUCAUUGACAUCAGCCUCUCCCACGGUCUGGUCGCUUGGCCGUGCGGAUCCGUCGAAGCGACUGGCUGAGCGUCAGCCUGCCGGCCGGCGGGCGCGAGGCGAGACCCAAAUGACCUGGCUAAGCAUGUAGUCCUGGCUGUGUAGGGCUUGCGGACGGCGGUUCGAUUCCGCCCGCCUCCACCA
rnacentral:tmRNA from 1 species